UUGUGCGGAGCGCGGCGAGCUACGCCCACCCCCCGCGGGGCGGGCCGACGGCGGCCAGGGGCUUCGUCCCGCCCACCGCGCCCGGAGGGGGCGGGGCCGGGAGGGCACCUUCUUCCUGCGCCCACCCCCACCCUCAGGAAUGCCACAUGGCCUCGGAAGAGGAGUGGUGGGGAAUCCAGACACGGGAGAGUCGGCUUGGGGGCAGGAAGUGGCCCGUUUCUCCUCUCGGAGAGCGUUUCCGGAGCGCCUACUGUGUGCUCCACGCCGGGAGUGGGGGCCGUUACCGAGGGGAGAAAUAAUGCAGACUAACGUUUGUGAGACCGCUCCCUCCACCAGGUCUCCCGCCGGCGGUGUGAUGGUUCCCAUUGCACCAAGAGGAAACUGAGGCCCAGUUAGCCCGGGGAUUUACCCCAGCUGGUGAGGACCGGGUUCUGAAUGCGACGCCUCUUCUGCCCUCAACGGCCGCUAGAGUCGGGUAGAAGGCUGCUUCGGACACAACCCCAAAGCACGCAGCUCCUGGGUCUAGAACACAAGUGGCGGCCAGAGCAUUGUUCAUUCUGGUGGAAGAUUGCAGACAACUACAUACCCCUGACCAGGCACUGACUUCUUACAGCACCUCUGGGACCUCCGUACAGCAGGGUGUUGUAAUGGGGUAUGCUACUCCCUUCUCCGCUUUUCACAUAUGAAAAAACUGGGUUCCUGAGAGAAGGGACUUGCCUGAUAAUGAAGCUGGGGUCCUGACUCCUGGGACAGAUCUGGGGUGGGGUCUGGAUGGGAAGGACAGGUAGGUGUAGCGUCAGCCCCUAGACUCACCUGGUUGCCUUCAGUGGGCCAUUUUAGGAAAAGCCUCAGGAACUCAAGGCCCCUCAGGCCAGAAAAGGGACUGGAUAGGUUGCAUAAGGCAACUCCUGCUUACCCAAAUUAGAGGCUGCCGCCGAUGGGGCUCCCUGUUCAUUGUGCCUGUUUCUGGUGAACUUGAUUAUCACAUAGGUUCAAAUGAAUGUCAUGUAAGUCCACUUUCAUUAAAAGAAAAAAAAAAGCCAUUGCCCUUUUUACCUGGGGUUGAUGAGUGGGGUAAGGGAUCAGUAUUCACCUGGAGCCAAGAGGAGCCAAGGCUAGAUAUGGUAGCAUAAAGGAAGUGGGGUUCUGUGGGGUGGAGGGGAAGAGUCCAGAAAAGGACAGGGUCAGUGAGUAAUUCAGGAAACGGCAGAAUCAGUCAGCUGGUAGGGCCUUGAAGGCCGGGGUACAAAGUUUGGAUUUGGUGUUGUGGGCUGUAGGGAGCCUUGCGGAUUUCUGAGACCUGCU